GAGGUUUUAGGAUCGUAGUGUCAGACUCUUUGCCAAGCACGAAGACAGGGAUGGGGAAGAAGAAGAGGAGCAAAGACGGUGGCGAAGCCGGAAGCCAAAGCGAGUAUUCCUCCGCCACCGUGUUCGUCUCCAAUUUUCCGUACUCAUUCACCAACUCUCAGCUGGAAGAAACUUUCAGCGAUGUUGGACCGAUUAGACGCUGUUUUAUGGUUACGCAGAAAGGGUCAACUGAACACCGUGGUUUUGGUUUCGUUCAAUUUGCUGUUACAGAAGAUGCUAAUCGAGCUAUUGAACUGAAGAAUGCUUCUUCUAUUGGGGGUAGGAAAGUUUCAGUUAAACAUGCUAUACACCGUGCACCACUUGAGCAGCGGCGAUUGAAGACAAGUCAAGCAAUUCAAUUGGAUGGUACCCAUAAGCUAAAGACUGACAAGGAUGGUGGGGGUUCCAGGGCAGGAAAAGCUGCUUCAAACUUGGAGGAACAAGUUCCUUUGGAGAAAAAUUCAGAGCAACCUGUGGAGUCUGGAAAAGCAUCAACGCGUAAAAAUAAUCUGAAUGAUAAAGAAGGUUCUUCAGAAAAACAAAGGGUUGCAAGGACUGUCAUAUUUGGUGGUCUUCUUGAUGCUGAGAUUGCGGAGGAGGUUCAUUGCCAAGCUAGGGAGAUUGGUGCUGUAUGUUCUAUAACUUAUCCUCUACCAGAAGAAGAACUCAAUAAACAUGGUCUAAUGCAAGAUGGGUGCAAAAUGGAUGCUUCAGCUGUUCUUUAUACAAGUGUUAGAUCAGCAUGUGCUGCUGUUGCAACGUUGCACCAAAAAGAGAUUAAAGGAGGAGUUGUCUGGGCACGUCAACUGGGUGGAGAGGGCUCCAAGACUCGGAAAUGGAAGCUUAUUGUUAGAAAUCUUCCUUUCAAGGCCAAGGUGAAUGAGAUUAAAGACAUGUUUUCACCAGCAGGGUUUGUCUGGGAUGUGUUUAUUCCACAUAAUUCUGAUACAGGAUUAUCUAAGGGUUUUGCAUUUGUCAAAUUCACUUCCAAACAGGAUGCGGAAAAUGCAAUCCAAAAAUUCAAUGGCCAAAAGCUGCAUAAAAGACCCAUUGCCGUUGAUUGGGCAGUGUCUAAGAAAAUAUAUAGCAGCGGCAAUAAUGCUAUUCUUGGUUUAGAAAAUGGAGAACAGAAUGCAAGAGAUAGGGAAAAUGACAGUAGUGAUUCAGGUGAUGAUAAUGCAUCAGAUGGUCCUGAUACAACAGAGAAAGAAGACAACCCUGCAGACAUUGAUUUUGAUGAGGAAGCUGACCUAGCGAGGAAGGUUCUGAAGAACUUAUUAACAUCAUCCACUAACAAAACUUUUUCUUCUGCUGAUGAUGAUUCUGCACUUCUCAAGGAGAGUGGGGAAUCAAAUAUUGAUGUAUCUGUUGAAGUGCCCAAUGGUUUAUCUGAUGAGUCUGCAAAAGCAGUACAUGUUACUGAGCCUGAGAAGUCCAUCAAAAGCAAGGGAUCAACUCAUAAAGAUGGAGAAGAUGAUUUGAGUAGAACAAUUUUCAUAAGUAACCUUCCCUUUGAUAUUGACAAUGAAGAAGUUAGAGAACGAUUUUCUACUUUUGGGGAAGUGCAAUCCUUUCUCCCAGUUCUUCAUCAAGUCACAAAGCGACCUAGAGGAACAGGUUUCCUCAAGUUUAAAACAGUUGAUGCAGCUGCUGCUGCUGUUUCAGCUGCUAAUGCUGCUUCUGGCUUGGGAAUCCUUUUGAAAGGUAGGCCGUUGAAAAUCAUGAAGGCUUUGGAUAAGAAGUCAGCUCAUGACAUGGAAAUGAAGAAGGCCAAAAGUGAGGAUCAUGAUAAUCGCAAUCUUUACCUGGCAAAGGAAGGUCUCAUUGUUGAAGGAACUCCAGCUGCAGAAGGUGUUUCGGCUAGUGAUAUGUUAAAACGCCAAGCGUUGGAAAGGAAGAAGACGAUGAAGCUUCAAUCCCCAAAUUUUCAUGUCUCAAAGACUAGACUUGUUAUUUACAACUUGCCAAAGUCAGUGACAGAAAAAGAUCUUAAAAAGCUUUGUAUUGAUGCAAUUACCUCACGAGCUACAAAGCAAAAACCAACAAUUCAACAGAUAAAGUUCAUGAAGGAUUUGAAGAAAGGAAAGGAGGUUUCAAAGAAUUAUUCUCGUGGAGUUGCUUUUGUUGAGUUCUCUGAGCAUCAGCAUGCACUUGUGGCCCUGAGAGUUCUUAACAAUAAUCCUGAAACUUUUGGUCCUGAGCAUCGUCCAAUUGUAGAGUUUGCACUUGAUAAUGUUCAAACAUUGAAGCUACGGAAAGCCAGGCUGCAAGCUCUGCGACAGGAGCCCCAUGAUGAUCCAAAAGAUGUGCAGCAAACAAAUGACGCAAAAAAGGGACCAAAUUCCCUCCUGAAAAGAAAGAAGUCUGGAAAACAAAAAUUUGAAGGUGAGAAACAAGCACUCAACAAUUCAAAACCGAAUAAAGAAAACGAGCUGGAUAGGGUUGCCAAUAUGGCUGCCAAAGAAGGGGAGGUGGGUUCGAAGAGGCGGAAAAGUAAUUUGGCAAAAGGAAAGGCCAAAAAGUUCUCAUCAACUGAUGUGUCAGGAGGCUCAAAAGAGAAGGCGGACACUUCCAAAGUAAAUCCAGAUGACAAGAAACAUGCUAGGAUUCCCAUUGUUAACAAACAAUUAAACUCUUCGGAGACAAAUGUGCAACCGAAAAAGAGGAUGCAGCCAGAAGAACCAGGUAUUGAGAAGGGAGAGAAAAAUUUGAAGAAAAGAAGAAGGUCAAACAAGAAACAAGAUCAAUCAGGGCGAGAUGUGGUAGAUAAGCUUGACAUGCUUAUUGAACAAUAUAGGUCCAAAUAUUCACAACAUGGUUCCAACCAAACUGAUGGUGAGAAGCAAGGCUCUAGACAGCUUCGGAAGUGGUUCCAAACUUAAUUUUCUUUCGGCCGCUUUUGCAGCAUUUCUUCAGAGAUUCCUUGAUAGGGAGUAGCAACUGUUGUAUACGAAAUGGUCGCUUCUCGUCAAGGUUUCAAGAUGUAUAAUUUGAUCUACAUUCUGGACACAACGACCAUUCGAAACCUAUCAUUUUGUUAUACCCAAAAACAAAAACUAUCAUUUUGUACCAUCGGAGGAUUGAAAUAUGGCUGCU